rnacentral:rRNA from 1 species
UUUAUUGAGAGUUUGAUCCUGGCUCAGGAUGAACGCUGGCGGCGUGCUUAACACAUGCAAGUCGAACGGAGGACCCUUGACGGAGUUUUCGGACAACGGAUAGGAAUCCUUAGUGGCGGACGGGUGAGUAACGCGUGAGGAACCUGCCUUGGAGAGGGGAAUAACACAGAGAAAUUUGUGCUAAUACCGCAU